GGGUCCGGGUCGUGGCGGGCGAGCCGCCCACUGGCCGACGCCGAGUUCAAUCGCUAGGGUGAAGUGAAUCAAGGCUGCCGGGGCCGACCGGCGACCUCGCCGCUGGCCCUACACCGCUACACGAGAUAGCACCUGUGCGGGGAUUGUGUUGUGGCAGGAGGCCCCGAGGCCAGGUCGCGCCGCCUGCAUGCCCCGCACCUUGCCAAUGCGAUGCAAAUGCGUGGGGACCGCGAUCGUCAAGGGCAGCGCCGCCACCAUCAGCGACGCGGCCAAGCUACCUAGGUCCUAGCUGUCUCCUCAUGGGGUACGAAUGGUCCUGCUCUGUUUCAACUUUCAAGAGAGCAUGUUACCUUUUGCAAAAGACACAUAGGAGGAGUGGAAUAAGUUCCUUUUUGCAAUAAGUACCAGUGAAAAGGAGAUACUAAAGUGCAUGUCAGCUACAACCCCAGAAGUCUGGAACUGAAGUAGAGUACAAAAUCUUUUUUUUUGGGUAAGGAGAUUAUUUGGUUAGGGUUAAAAUCCCACGUAAUUAAGUGACAAUGUGACUCUAGGUGCCCAACAGUUGGAACAAGCGACAGGGCCAAUUCCUGGGGGCCGUGUACAAACUGCAAACCAGCUUGUUCACAGAACAAGAUUGGAGGAUACUGCAUGCAUAAUGGCCUGACUGAAUCUCAAAUAUGUGUUGUCGUUAUGGGGCAUGGUUUGAAUGGCUGAAGUUUCCAUUUGUUACCUUAGUUCCAAGCUCCCUGUGUGUUGUAGUUGGGGAAUGGAACUCCGCCGGAUUCAAUGAGCGUGACAUCAUCAUUAAGGAUCUCAUAAUGGCGGCGAACUUCAUCGGCUGUCUUGAUGCCACCCAUGGCACGGGCCACCUUGUGCCAGCGGUCAGGGUGGCUACUAUUUAUAGGCGCUUGACGAGCGUGAACUGCUGUUCACGUUGCCAUCCAGCCUGCAGUAGGCUCAAAGCUUGACAGGCUGCAGAUUCUCAUGUUUUGAACUCAGGAUCCACUACAAGAGUAGUGUGUGCACUUGGGCAUCAUGGAAAGGGGAAUCCCAAUAUCUUCUGUUCUGCGUAUAUAGGGUAUAUAUGGUGGUGACCAUUAUCUUGGUUCGAAGCAGUGGGUGUAGGUGAUAGCUGGACGCAUGCACUGGAUUUCCAUCUGUAGACGGCCCUGUACUACGGCAUGGAGUUCUCUACACUGAAGGCCGGUGGCAAACUGAGAGCCAUGGCAAUGGUGUCAUCAUUCCGGAAGAACUGCAAAAGGAUCUUAGCGAUGGGAUGGUAAAAUCAGAUGGCUUUGCAGUUUGCACCACUAAGGAGAAUGAUGUGAUUUGUGAAACCAUCGUUGGAUGUAACUUGCUUCUCCUGUAAAGGAUUGAGAUAUAUUCUGCGCACCUGCAUGACAUCCUAGUAAACUAAACCAGGUGAUUACUGGAAGGUUGACGACAAUAACGAUUCGAGAAUAGAAACCCAAAAUUUACCAAAUCUUUUGUACUCUUGAAGUUCUCUUGGUCUGAACAGUACACAUGGGGCUGGGCAGAAGCAGAAUAUGUGCUAAAGCUUGGACUGGACCUGGACCAACGAAUUAUUUCUUCGGUCGGUUGCCAGGACCUUGGAAAUGAGAAUUGCAUUUGUUCUUUGAC